GACGAACGCUGGCGGCGUGCCUAAUACAUGCAAGUCGAACGCAUUUCUUUUCACCGGAGCUUGCUCCACCGAAAAGAAAUGAGUGGCGGACGGGUGAGUAACACGUGGGCAACCUGCCCAUCAGAGGGGGAUAACACUUGGAAACAGGUGCUAAUACCGCAUAAUUGAUUUUGCCGCAUGGCGAGAUCAUAAAAGACGCUUUAAGUGUCGCUGAUGGAUGGGCCCGCGGUGCAUUAGUUAGUUGGUGGGGUAACGGCCUACCAAGACCAUGAUGCAUAGCCGACCUGAGAGGGUGAUCGGCCACACGGGGACUGAGACACGGCCCAGACUCCUACGGGAGGCAGCAGUAGGGAAUCUUCGGCAAUGGACGAAAGUCUGACCGAGCAACGCCGCGUGAGUGAAGAAGGUUUUCGGAUCGUAAAACUCUGUUGUUAGAGAAGAACAAGGAUGAGAGUAACUGUUCAUCCCUUGACGGUAUCUAACCAGAAAGCCACGGCUAACUACGUGCCAGCAGCCGCGGUAAAAC
rnacentral:rRNA from 1 species